rnacentral:misc_RNA from 1 species
GAUGAAGAACGCAGUGAAAUGCGAUAACUAAUGUGAAUUGCAGAAUUCAGUGAAUCAUCGAGUCUUUGAACGCACAUUGCGCCCCCUGGUAUUCCGGGGGGCAUGCCUGUCCGAGCGUCAUUGCUGCCCUCAAGCCCGGCUUGUGUGUUGGGCCCCGUCCCCCUCUCCGGGGGACGGGCCCGAAAGGCAGCGGCGGCACCGAGUCCGGUCCUCGAGCGUAUGGGGCUUUGUCACCCGCUCUGUAGGCCCGGCCGGCGCCAGCCGACAACCCAUCAUCCUUUUCAGGUUGACCUCGGAUCAGGUAGGGAUACCCGCUGAACUUAAGCAUAUCAAUAAGCGGAGGA